UGAGGGAAUGGCGAAAAGAUCCUCGGCGAGGGGAGUGAAAAAGAACCUGAAUCCGUGUACGUACAAGCAGUGGGAGCCCCACCACUAAGCCAGUGGUGAACUCCACAUACGCAUCCUUUGCUGAGGAUGCGGUUAACGGAGCGAAAGCGACGUUCAACCGCAAAAGAAGCAGAGGGGGCUUAGUGGUGGGGUGACUGCGUACCUUUUGUAUAAUGGGUCAGCGACUUAUAUUCUGUAGCAAGGUUAACCGAAUAGGGGAGCCGGAGGGAAACCGAGUCUUAAUUGGGCGUUAAGUUGCAGGGUAUAGACCCGAAACCCGGUGAUCUAGCCAUGGGCAGGUUGAAGGUUGG
rnacentral:rRNA from 1 species